UUAGGAAUAUUCGGCAAUGGGGGAAACCCUGACCGAGCAAUGCCGCGUGUGAGAUGAAGGCCCUAUGGGUUGUAAAUCACUUUUAUUUGGGAAGAACUGUAAGUAGAGGAAAUGAUACUUACUUGACGGUACCUUUUGAAUAAGCCCCGGCUAACUACGUGCCAGCAGCCGCGGUAAUACGUAGGGGGCGAGCGUUAUCCGGAUUUAUUGGGCGUAAAGCGUGCGUAGGCGGUUUGUUAAGUCCAGAAUUAAAGCCCGAGGCUUAACCUCGGUUCGUUCUGGAUACUGGCAGACUAGAGUAUGGUAGAGGCAAAUGGAAUUCCUAGUGUAGCGGUGAAAUGCGUAGAUAUUAGGAGGAACACCAGUGGCGAAGGCGAUUUGCUGGGCCAUCACUGACGCUGAGGUACGAAAGCGUGGGGAGCAAAUAGG
rnacentral:rRNA from 1 species